CGACGGAGACAGUAACCUUCAUCAGACACGUCCCUUCGUUUGGCCAUUGCUAGUUCUAAAACCAUGUCAUCAUUAGCAGGUGUCGUAGUCAUCCUGUCCCUGGCUUCGUGUCUUGGACACGUCCUAACAGCGGAUCCUGGUGAAAAUGGUGCUUGCGUGAACUUGGUGCUUCCAGACAUUGCAGGACUAGGCGAAUGCUUGGGCGACGCCCUCCAGACAUGCGGUACAUCACAG